GCCCGCAUAGUGUAGCGGUUUCUGCACGGAGUCCUGAUAAGACUUAGGUCCUGGUUCAACUCCAGGUGUGGGUAC
rnacentral:tRNA from 1 species